GGGGGUAGUUAGGAGGCUGGUGCUCCUCCUGGACUUCAAAUCCAGUGGCAGGCGCGCUCCGUCUGCGGUGGGUUCGAUUCCCAUCUACUCCCGCCA
rnacentral:tRNA from 1 species